rnacentral:lncRNA from 1 species
CUUCUAGUACUCCUAUUUUCUUGAUAUUAUUUUUUUUUAAUAGGCACUUGUUGGUGAUAAGACAUUGGCAUUUCGAUUGAUGGAUGCAGAGAUGUACACAAACAUGAGUGUGUUCACACCUCUUACUCCAGUUAUUGAUCGCGGAAUCCAGCUUCAUAAAAUGAUUCGCCUCAUUACUCACACGCUUGGAGGAGAUGGCUAUCUGAACUUCAUGGGUAAGUAAUCUUAGGAGCAUGUCUUUCAUUUUCUUAUCUACAGAAGGCUUGGCAGGGAAAUAAAAAUAUAUGGUACCAUCUUACAACUAUAUAUUUUUUUUAAAUAAAAAUUUAGCACAAGUGGUAACACACAUUUUUUCCAUCUUUAAGACAUGUUGUAAAACAGGAAAAUAAAAUCAGUGGGGCCCCUAAUUGUAAAAGAAAUAAGUUCUUUAAAGUUUCAGGUUACUCAUCUUUAUAGUUCAACUGAGUAUUUUAAUUGUAGGUCUGCAGAUCUGUCUGUGUAAGUCUUACCUUUCAAAACCAGGUUGCCUUUUGUCUCUUCUCUCAAGAUUUUUAGAGUAGCACUGAAAUAACUGAGGAUAGCUCUUAUUUCAGUUAUUCACGAUCAAAUAAUUAGUGCAAGAAAGUAAUCUGGAAUCAGUUGUUUUAUAUUUCUUUGCUUUCAAGUGAAGAGCAGGAGUUUAAUAAGGUGUAGGCAAAAAUGAGUCAGAGACAGGAAACACGUCCUGCUGGGGAAGCAGGGAAACAGUGAGAGCUAGCAGUAAUUUUUUUUUCUUCAUAAUCUCUAAAAUACAACUGUUGCAUUGCUUCCUAAAUACUAUUGCUACAAACCAUCCCAUAGUUCUCAUUUGAUCAGACAGUUAGAGUUCCAUGUAGUGGUCUUAAAAAAUUAAUGUUAUUAGUUUUACAUGCUGAAACAAUUUAUGCUUGAUGACCUCUUCCUUAAUUUCUUUGCAAAAUAACCCUUAUGGCAUCUAUAGUAAAAAAGAAGAAAAUUACAAUUCUGUAAUGUGGUAUAUCAAGUUUUAUACAGCAGUUCUGCUAGUCACAUGAAAGGUGAAAAAGGCUGAAAGCAUGCUGAAAGCAUUCAUCUUGGAUGAUUCUCAAACAAUAAAAUACUGAAAAUUACAGAAGCUUUAACUUAAUAUUGCCUUCAGUUUUUGUUAUUAAAUGUCAUUUACUAUCAAGUUUGAGGAGAACUGGAUGUACUUUGUUCUCUUAAUACUACGUUUAAAAUACACAUAAUGCAUAUGUAUAAUGAAAGAGUAUAUAGAAGUGUAACCAGUAAGUAUACAGAGAAGCUAGGCUGGUCUUUCAAGAGCAUAUAGCUGGAAAGAUUAUUACAUUGGAAAAGAUAAUCAGAAAUAAAUGGAAAAAUGCUCACCAGUGUUGUAGGCACACAAGAAAACUCCACGAGGAGCAAUCUCCAGAGAGAGACCCUUCCUCAGUGGCAGUCAGCCAUUAAAUGGGGUCUAGGAGAGGUGGAGCCAGACUCUACCCCUUCCAGUCACACAGGUGAACUACCUUCACCUGGGCUCCUGCAGCUCACCUCAGGUGAUCAAUCAGAGGUUCAGGCCCUGAUUCAACAGUUCCCAUACAUACAUAUUAAUAUGUUUCUAAUUAAAAAGAAAAGAAGGAAAACUUUAAAAAAGGAAUGCUGGCAUUUGAUUUAAGUAUGUCUGUACUGUUCUGCCCCUCAGCAGUAAAAGAGCA